rnacentral:tRNA from 3 species
GGAGGGGUGGCAGAGCGGUCGAAUGCGGCGGUCUUGAAAACCGUUGGGGCCUCAAAGCCCUCGGGGGUUCGAAUCCCUCCCCCUCCGCCA